UAAGACCUGGAGCAUAUUAAGACAUGGAGCAUUUCUAGAUCUACUAGAGAAUGAAGACUGCCAUAUUUUCAGCAUCUUCUUCAUGGUUUGUACUGCCUUCAGCAUUGUAAAAGGUGGUCUACCAAGAGGAAACUCUAGAUCACAUGGAGAGAUUAUUUGCCAACCAUGGAUGCCUGCAAGAACAUCUGGCACAAGCAAGGAAACUCUCCACACAAUCAACAAUAUCCAUAAGACAAGCCAUGCUAAAUGUUACUGGGGUGAGAAGACUCACUGCAUGGGAAGAAGGUUGGCAUGGGGGAAAGGUAUCAUGUAGGUUAGCCCUAUUGGGACUUGUGGGAGAUUCAACACAAUGGUAGCACAGAUUUGACAGCAAUGAAGUAAGUCACAGUAUUUGACUGAGCGAAAAGAAACUGAUGUAACCUGCCCGAGAACAGUGCAGCAAACGAAGGCCCGUGGCUUUCCUAAACAUCUGCAGGAGUUAAGUGUCACCAGUCUUUACAAUGUUCUGCUUCUUUUAUAUGAUGUGCUCAUGCAUGGACCAGCCAUAAUCAGUGCUUUCAUAUUCAAGAGGCAGAGCCACUACCUUUCAGAGGUGAGGGAUGCAAAGCAUCUGCUGAUCCCAUAAGGCCAAAAUCACACCUGUGAAAUCGGCGCCUUUGGACACACGUCUGCAAUCAUGACCUUAGAGUACCCACCCAAAUACUCCAACCAAGAUGUCUAGGCUAUGAAUUCAGCAGCAAAAGUCUCUCAUCAGAUAAAAGGGGCUAUGUAUGGGACAGGGGAAGCUCAAGCCAGAUGAAUUUGAAUGAGUGUUCAGCACAAACCUCAAACAAUAAGCAGUGGACAAAUCAGUUUCGGGAAAGAUUCUGAAAAAAGGACUGACUGUUCACCUGGCACAUUCUCUACACUGUUUAAAAAAGCCUUUUCAGAUUAUGAACAGGGUUGCAUCUGCAAUACAAGCACUAAAAAUGUUCUUUAUAUGAACUAGAGGCUUGUCAGCUGUAUAUCUCAUUACAAUACUCCCCCCCCCCCGCGCCUUCUCAAAACAAAAAAGGGGAAAACAAUAAACCUUGGAGAAAAUCUCACAAAUAAACCUUGAAAAGACAUUGGGCCUGUGAAAUGGGGAGCUUCCAUCUGAUUCGGGUGAGGACAGCUCUUCACCCCUGCAGUACUAGGCUCUGGCAACACCUCUGCCUUGCUACUCGACUUCAAUAUAAGUCUCUAGAAUAUCCUUCACACUAAGGAACAAUAUGACCUCCAGAAGAAAGGAGAACAUUCCUAAAUGAGAAUCCGGAGCAUCUCACCAGUGACAAUAACAAUAGGCAAAUAACCAGAGAAAUUGGCAGGCACCCAGAAAAUGUAAGGUAAGUGAAACCCGGCUUGCAACAAAAUGCUGUGCUGCAAAACCCAGCCUAAUUCCAGCCUCUACAAGAUUUUAGCAAAUCCCCAGCUGAAUUCCCUUUUCUACGCUAUGCACAGAGUAAGCAUCUCCAUAAGGUUUUAAAGGAAACUGAAUAAAACGAAGUCUCUACAAGAAAA